GCUGGCGGCGUGCCUAACACAUGCAAGUCGAACGAGAAAGUGGAGCAAUCCAUGAGUAAAGUGGCGACCGGGUGAGUAACACGUGACUACCUACCCUUGAGUGGGGGAUAACCUCGGGAAACCGAGGCUAAUACCGCAUAAUAUCGAAAGAUCAAAGGAGCAAUCCGCUUUUGGAGGGGGUCGCGGCUGAUUAGCUAGUUGGUAGGGUAAUGGCCUACCAAGGCGAAGAUCGGUAUCCGGCCUGAGAGGGCGCACGGACACACUGGAACUGAAACACGGUCCAGACUCCUACGGGAGGCAGCAGUGGGGAAUUUUGCGCAAUGGGGGAAACCCUGACGCAGCAACGCCGCGUGGAGGAUGAAGCCCCUUGGGGUGUAAACUCCUUUCGACCGGGAAAAUUAUGAUGGUACCGGUGGAAGAAGCACCGGCUAACUCUGUGCCAGCAGCCGCGGUAAUACAGAGGGUGCGAGCGUUGUUCGGAAUUAUUGGGCGUAAAGGGCGCGUAGGCGGUAUUGUAAGUCACCUGUGAAACCUCUGGGCUUAACUCA
rnacentral:rRNA from 1 species